UGGAAGUGAUGAAACAGAGAUAGGGUGUUGAAUGUUGUGUGGAUGGAAAUUUUUGAUAGUUAAGUUUAAUUAUUUGUAAAUGCUAAUGGGGGGGUGUGCUUGCAAGUGUGUGCUUGUGAAGGUUACAGAAAGGGGGCGCUGACUGGUGGUGCUGAUAUUGGAGUGCAUCUGAGGCUGUUGGAGGGAAAUUCAUGGGUUGCUGAUGCAACAUGCCGAUGAUUAUAACCCAAAAACAGCUCACCUGGUAGCCUCACACCCUAAAAUCUCUAACAGUUCCUUAAAUAUGGUCCUGUGAUCUGAUCCAA